rnacentral:rRNA from 1 species
GCAAAUGACUGGACAGCAGGCGCGGUAGUACGUGUGUGGCAUGCGUUGUCCGGGAGUAUUGGGCGUAAAGCGCGGUGAGGGGGUCCUUUAAGUCUGAUGGGAAAGCCCACGGCUGAACCGUGGAGGGUCAUUGGAAACUGGGGGACUUGAGGGCAGAAGAGGAAAGCGGAAUUCCACGUGUAGCGGUGAAAUGCGUAGAGAUGUGGAGGAACACCAGUGGCGAAGGCGGCUUUCUGGUCUGUAACUGACGCUGAGGCGCGAAAGCGUGGGGAGCAAACAGGAUUAGAUACCCUAGUAGUC